CACCACCGACCCGUUUGGAUCUGGGUACCUGGAUUAUGUUACAGACUCGCAGCUGAACACUAUCGUUCUGAGUGAGGUGGAGGUGAUGGAGGAAGAUGUUGGUCCUCCAGACCAUGAAGAUGCUACAGACCUGAUCUGUGGGCUCAUCAGAGAACUCUCCUCUCUAAAUCGUAAGGUGAUGGCCACUCACAGAGAUCUGGAGAACCUGCGGCGUGGCAAUAAACCUUCCAGAAGCUCCACACGUUGAGAAGAAGAUUUUCAUUGUUGACCCGAUGUUUUUUGAGUAAUGAAGGCGUUCGAGUGUACAAAUGUUUGUG